ACAGGAGGGCGCAGUUUCACCUUUAAACUCCAUCUUUACACAUUAGUAUCUCAAACUAAGUUCGGAGCUUCAGUACAAAGUUUUCACUCAUCCCGUGUCUUCAUUUAUCUGCUUCUUAGACACUUUGGAGAACGACAGGGAGAGGAAGAGAGAAACUGGAGAAACUUUCUGCGACACUUCCGGUUGGAGCUUCCGGUAAUCACGCCCAGGUGUGUUCAGGUGUUCUCAGGUGUGUAUGUCAUUGUUUCGAGCAGGUAAGCGGUGCGGACCGCGGGCAGCCUGGCUGUGGAUCAAAGCGGUGGAAGAAGAAGGAGCCGGGGAAGGAGAGAUGAAGUCUAGAUACUCAGAACUCUGUCGACGUCUUCCUGCUCAGAGCUGCUGGUUGAGUGUGUGAAGAACAAGGACUUAAAGAAGG